GGAGGGGGUUCAAACAGCCUCCCACUGCUGGCUCUCCACUGUUUCAAAUGUAGUGCAGCCAAGUGGUACUGCUGCAGAAGGUAGUCACACUAACUUGACCAGUCUGUCAGUGUGGCUGAGCAUGCUCAGCCUGCUUUGAAUGGAGGGGGCAGGAAGUUAAAUGCAUAUUUCGCUUAAACACGUAUUUCUGCAAUAAACAGAGAAGUACUUUGCAUUGGGG